UACGUAGGGGGCUAGCGUUGUCCGGAAUCAUUGGGCGUAAAGCGCGUGUAGGCGGCCCGGUAAGUCCGCUGUGAAAGUCGAGGGCUCAACCCUCGGAUGCCGGUGGAUACUGUCGGGCUAGAGUGCGGGAGAGGCGAGUGGAAUUCCUGGUGUAGCGGUGAAAUGCGCAGAUAUCAGGAGGAACACCUAUUGCGAAGGCAGCUCGCUGGGACGUAACUGACGCUGAGACGCGAAAGUGCGGGGAUCAAACAGG
rnacentral:rRNA from 1 species